rnacentral:piRNA from 1 species
UAUGUACACAUUGGUUGUUUGUCCA